CACUACUUCAACAAAGAAUGGAAUACACGCCACUAUUCUGCUACGUUCCUGUCACCUCAGCGUUUUGUUACAAAGGAGUGGACCACGACUGUCCUGUGCUCUCCGUUCCGAUGCUGCUUUACAGAGGCGACCACCCAAGACCACCUUCUGAUUUUGUGACAGGUCUUCCUGGAACUGAUUCCAGGAUCAUCCUGAGGGCCUGUUUCCUUCAAUUCAAUGACCACGUAAUUACUUGAAACUCCCAGAGAUGGAUCAGGUGAGGGACAAGGAGACGGCAGGAUCCCAGAGCAGGGACCAUCAAUCCCUGAGGAGUCUGAAUGGAACAAGAUCUGCAAGUGGCCCCUGGCACAUCCGAGGAGCCCAGCCAAUGAGAGUCCUGUCUUUCCUGGGUCAGAAGCAACCUUGGACACUCAAGUCCAGUGCCAGCUGGGCAUCUCCGCAGCUCCUCUCAACCUAUCCAUCUGCCUCUGUCCCAUUGCUGGCUCUGACCUUAGGUUCCAAGCUCUUCCUAGGACCACCCUCCUCGGAAGACCCGUUCCGGGAGGUCUACCAUGAGGCCCAGUUUUCAAGGCCUCAGGCCACCUGCAGGCCCCACCUUUCUGCAAAUGGUAGUGGCCUGGUUUCCUUCCUUGCCCACUCAAACAGUGCCAUCCUCUACCUCCCUCCCUGUUCCCCAGGCUGAGCCAGUCAGGGACCACCUGCUGAGCCAGAGGGGCACCCCUAGGGGCUAAGGCUCCCUCUCAAGUAACCAACUGUGUAGACCUGAGCAAGGGGCUCCCCUUCCCACUCCCGAUUUUUUAGUUCUCCUCUACCAGAAAAACAGGGAGACGAAAUCCACGCCUGGCAUGUGCCUUUGUGUACCAACCAGUGAAGGACAGGCCCAAUUCUAGUGCUGAACAGGCAGUUUGCCAGGAGCAGUCAAGAUCACCCCUCCCUCCACUCCCAGGGUGGCAAAGGGCAUUCAUUACAUCCAGCAGGGAGGGGGAGUGUUUAACUCACUCUAAAGGGGGCUGGGGUGAUGGGGGUAGUGGGAGGGACAAUUCACAAAAGCCAGGGCUUAGAAACUCCCAACGGUUUUUUUUUUUUCCAGAACUUCC
rnacentral:lncRNA from 1 species